UACAUGGGGUGCAAACGUUGCUCGGAAUCAUUGGGCGUAAAGCGCGUGUAGGCGGCCAGAAAAGUCCGCUGUGAAAACUCGAGGCUCAACUUCGAGCUGUCGGUGGAAACUUUCUGGCUAGAGUCCGGAAGAGGAGAAUGGAAUUCCUGGUGUAGCGGUGAAAUGCGCAGAUAUCAGGAAGAACACCCGUGGCGAAGGCGGUUCUCUGGGACGGUACUGACGCUGAGACGCGAAAGCGUGGGGAGCGAACAGG
rnacentral:rRNA from 1 species